AUGAAUGUCCUUGCCUGGAACUGUCGGGGACUGGGGUCGGACAUGAUAGUUAACGAACUUAGGGACCUGAUAUGGUCUUACAACCCUACGCUGGUGUUUUAGAGUCUGACAAAGAAACGGUCCAGAGUAAUGGAAAGGUUGAGAUGGAGUAUGGAUUUUAGACAAGGUGCAACUAUAGAUAUUGUGGGUCAGAGUGGUGGAUUAGCUAUGUGGUGGAGAGAUAAUGUGCAAGUAACUUUGAGGCCAUGGUGUUAG
rnacentral:rRNA from 1 species